AACUAGCCAGUUUGUGUUUCUCUCUCUCUGUGUGUGUGUGCGUGUGUGUGUGAUUUCAGAGAAACUACAACACCGCUGAUGAAUGAAACGUGACGGCUCCAUCCACAGACGCCUAAAUGAGAACGCCAUCUGCCUCUGAGCCCGUUACCCGCCGCCAUGUGCCAAUCUGGUCCUGAAAACACAAUCACAGUGGGGAACAACAGCCGCUGCUGAAAUCUCUCGCUCUGCAGAUGUUGGUUGUGCGAGGUUUCAAAGACUAAUCUGUGUUGACUUCAUCUCUCACACACUCUGUACAUCUGUAAUCUGGCCAGAUACAGUUAAGCCCGUUAUUAUUCAUACUGCUGGCAGGCCUAGAUGUAAAUUAGAUUUAUGUAACCUAGAAGUAUUCACUGCUGGAAGCCAUGUCACUGUUUACUGCAGAGCACCUAUAAAAACUUAAGAUUACGUCGUCGUCGUCAUGCGAUUGUCCCUUUGAUUCUGUUCUCUUCCUGUCGGAUUAUUUUGUUUGUUUUCUGUUCUUACUGUACAUUUUUCUAUGUAACAGCCGUAGUGUAAAAAAAAAAAAGAACAAAACUUGUAUU